UUGGGAUAGCUCAGUUGG
rnacentral:tRNA from 3 species